rnacentral:rRNA from 1 species
UACGUAGGGUGCGAGCGUUGUCCGGAAUUACUGGGCGUAAAGAGUUCGUAGGCGGUUUGUCGCGUCGUUCGUGAAAACUUGGGGCUUAACACCAAGCGUGCGGGCGAUACGGGCAGACUUGAGUACUACAGGGGAGACUGGAAUUCCUGGUGUAGCGGUGAAAUGCGCAGAUAUCAGGAGGAACACCGGUGGCGAAGGCGGGUCUCUGGGUAGUAACUGACGCUGAGGAACGAAAGCGUGGGUAGCGAACAGG